AAGGAGUACACAAUGAGUCUGAAACUGGGAAAGAUAAUCCCACACAAGGCAGCAAGUCCAGUUCAAGCCAUAAGAAUCCUUUAUCUCAUGCACAAUGAUGUCCUCUCUUUCAGUGGAAAUUUGUCUUCAAAGAAUUUCCAUUUUCAACAUCAUUUCCCCAUAAGUUUCCUGGCUUUCCUUUGGAGCUGUUUGCUUCCAUGCUGCUAGAUUCCUCCAAACCAG